AUUAUUUUCUGAAUUACUUCUUUGGGCUUAGGCUUCAAAAAAAAAAAAAAAAUAAUCGUGCUUCCACUAAACAUCAAUUCAAGUACAAAGAUCCACAACCAAUGGCAUAAGGAAGUCACUACACAAAUAUUGACGAGCGCACCUCACUAUCAAGCAUCAACACCAUCAGAAGCUUUUGCUGCAAAAGGAUCAUGAGUGGGACCAACGUCCUGCCCAAUAUGGCGCUGCACCAGCCUCUGUAAAUCAGCCAUAACCUUG
rnacentral:misc_RNA from 1 species